CUGCGUACCUUUUGUAUAAUGGGUCAGCGACUUAUAUUCUGUAGCAAGGUUAACCGAAUAGGGGAGCCGGAGGGAAACCGAGUCUUAAUUGGGCGUUAAGUUGCAGGGUAUAGACCCGAAACCCGGUGAUCUAGCCAUGGGCAGGUUGAAGGUUGGGUAACACUAACUGGAGGACCGAACCGACUAAUGUUGAAAAAUUAGCGGAUGACCUGUGGCUGGGGGUGAAAGGCCAAUCAAACCGGGAGAUAGCUGGUUCUCCCCGAAAGCUAUUUAGGUAGCGCCUCGUGAAUUCAUCUCCGGGGGUAGAGCACUGUUUCGGCUAGGGGGCCAUCCCGGCUUACCAACCCGAUGCAAACUGCGAAUACCGGAGAAUGUUAUCACGGGAGACACACGGCGGGUGCUAACGUCCGUCGUGAAGAGGGAAACAACCCAGACCGCCAGCUAAGGUCCCAAAGUCAUGGUUAAGUGGGAAACGAUGUGGGAAGGCCCAGACAGCCAGGAUGUUGGCUUAGAAGCAGCCAUCAUUUAAAGAAAGCGUAAUAGCUCACUGGUCGAGUCGGCCUGCGCGGAAGAUGUAACGGGGCUAAACCAUGCACCGAAGCUGCGGCAGCGACACUGUGUGUUGUUGGGUA
rnacentral:rRNA from 1 species